AAACUACCUUACAGCACUCUGCCUGGUUGCUAAGUAACAUCACCUCAGCCACCCUCUUAGCUGACUUAUGGAUAACAAAAUUAACCCAUAAAUUACAUAUGGAAUGAUCUCUUCUGUUACCCUUCCAGCAGUUAUAAAUCUUUACAGGUACAGUUUUAUUGUUUUUCUCACCAACAGACGCCUCUCCAGAUCUAUUAAUACCGUAAGAUGAGGCUUUCAGAUUUGAGGAUCAGUGACCUUGCCCCAAUCAUAAUAAAUUAUCGUCCUGCCCACCACCCCCGCCAUUGCGCCAUAGUACCUGACUUUCCUUGAGCUUUUCUUUAUAUGAACCAAUUUAUCAUAAAAGAGGUUGGAGAGGAACAAGGACUGCGGAAAAUGUAUCCCGAGAAAGCUAGUCAAAAUUGGAGCCACUGAAAAGCCUUCAUCCUAAUUACAAAAGACAGAAUCUCAAGAAUAACCGGUAUGAAACUAUUCUAAAAAGAAAAUUGCAUCUCCUCCACUGUGCUCUGAUCUGCGUGGGAAGAUACCUUCUUCUUAUCUUCCCUUUUGUUUGACUAGAUCUGGGUUGGCAUGUCCGCGCUAAAUCAUUCUCUAAGUCUUGCCUUGUUUUUCAAACAAAUUAUCAGACCAAAUUACUUACUCCGCUCAGAUAAUGACGCCAUUCAGAUUGUCUAAUGUACAAUUUCCUGACACUCUCCGCAGUGGUUUCUUAGGAACCCAUUCACAGGGAGACCUGAGAUCAGAACCUCUUCCAGCCUCAGUCCAACCCUGGGAAAGGUAUUAAUGUGCAAAUGUUGCAUAAGAAGGUAGUGGGGAUGCACUGCAAUGCACACUGCAAUGCGCACCCCAUGCAAAGUAAUAUAGCACAGGUAGAUUGCAUCCUUCCCCAACUGUGUACAGUGGUACCUCUGGUUACGUACUUAAUUUGUUCCGGAGGUCCGUUCUUAACCUGAAACUGUUCUUAACCUGAAGCACCACUUUAGCUAAUGGGGCCUCUUGCUGCCACUGCGCCGCAAGUUUCUGUUGGGAUUUCUGUUCUCAUACUGAGGCAAAGUUCUCAAUUCGAGGUAACUCUUCCAGGUUAGCGGAGUCUGUAACCUGAAGCGUAUGUAACCCGAGGUACCGCUGUAUUCAGAUGAAAACUACCAGCGGGGGUGGGUGGGGAGGGAUUCAGGACAUUAUACGCCAGGGGUCAGCAAACUUUUUCAGCAGGGGGCCAGUCCACUGUCCCUCAAACCUUGUGGGGGGGGCGGACUAUAUUUUUUUGGGGGGGAAUGAGCAAAUUCCUAUGCCCCACAAAAAAACCCCAGAGAUGCAUUUAAAUAAAAGCACACAUUCUAGUCAUGUAAAAGCACGCUGAUUCCUGGACCGUCCGCAGGCCGGAUUUAGAAGGUGAUUGGGCCAGAUCCAACCCCCGGGCCUUAGUUUGCCUACCCAUGUUAUACGCCUAUCGGCUUAGAGUUCUGAAUUUCCUUAGCUCAGGAGUGGAUCAUCUUUUUCUUUUGUUGAAAAUCAUAUUCCCUGGGGAUAAUCUGCCAGGGACCACAUAGCUGUGGUCUCAGGCGGUUCAAAGAAAAUCCUUGCCACCCAAAUGAAGUUACAAGUAGGGCAAGGAUGCAUGAAAUUAGGUUGAGGGCCAUGCAAGGCCCUAGGGCUGGUGUGGCAAGCUUCUGGCCCUUCAGAGUUCUGCUGAACUACAACUCCCAUCAGCCCCAGCAAGUAUAGCCAUUGACCGGGGGGAUGGGAAUUGUAGUUCAGCAACACCUGGAGGGCCGAAAGUUCCUCACACUUGCCCACACCUGCCUCAGGUGGACGUAGGAGACUGACUUUCACCUUCUGUUCUGUCCAAUAAGCCACACUCAUGGGAAUCAUAAGCCACACAAAGCCUUGGGUGUUUAAGGAAUAAGUUCUGCAAGAGCACCUGACCCAAUAAAAGUGACAUAUUAAUAUUAAUAACAUUAAGAAUAAUAUGAAUACAUUAUCACUGCAAACCAAAUGAUUUUGAUUAAACUGUCCCCAUACAAACUCGGUUCACUAAGGUACAGAGCUCUCUGCUGAGGUGUUUUUGUAUAUCCGACGUUGUCAUAAAAGUUGCGGCAUAAAUAUUUCAUGAAUAAAUAAAUUGCUGUUUUUGUUGUUUUAAUUCUGUAAGGUGCCCUGGAAAUAUUAAUGCUGUAGGGUGACAUUUUGAUAGAACAAAACAAAGAAUAGAUAUGAAAAUUAUGAGAAAAUCUUAAUGCGAAAGCUAUUUAAACAUUGCAUAGUGCAGUAAAUAUAUACAACCAGCAGGACUUGCCACAUUGUUUUCUGUUUUAAUUUGAUGGGUCACCUUCUCUAUUACACAUAAAUCACCUCUUCUAAUUAGUAAUGAUCCGUUUAUUGCCUUACCUGUCCCAUCCCCCACUCACACUUCCCAACGCCCUUGGAUCAGUUAACAUUUAAGCCUUGUAGGCUACAGUCCUAUGCAUGCUUACCUGGAAGUAAGUCCCAUAAAACUUAACAGAGCUUACUUCUGAGUAGACAUGUAUCGGAUUGCCUUAUUGGUGAAGCUACAAUUGUAGAACGCACCCCUCUCUGCAUAUACAGCCUUCCAGACAAGGGAAAUAUCUUCCUUUCCUUAGAGGACAAAUGAAGAAACUGGCAUCAGAGAGCACAGCUGUGCCACACAUUAAGGCUAAAUUGCUGAAUCCUCGAGCCCACCCACACUUCUUUCCACAGCUUCUCAGACUUCUGGAUCCUCCUAACCCUGCACGAUCUACUAGAGUUGUGCUCUUGAAAAAUUACUGUUGCAUUUCAUCUCAUCCCUUGUUCUGUUUUGUUUCCAGGAACCCAAUUUCCUUACUUUUCCAUUUGUCAUUGUCUCAUUUGUUUAGUUUCCAUUUCAUUACUGUUUCGUUCCCUCCUCUUUUUCUUUUCUUGGUUAUUCAUUUCAUUUCUAGGUUAAUUAGAACAGAGAUGCAGCCAUAACAUUGGUGUUUACCAUCCAAACGGCAUUAAAUACGUGUGGAUGUUGUGCUAUUCGCCUAAGGCAGACGUUCCCAAAACAGGGGUGGAAGAACCUCUGGGCUCUGGGCCAUUCUUGGCCUACGAGGCAGUCCGAGUUGGGCUGCUAAGACAUUUCCCCAAAACCAAACCCACCUGACCAUCAGCUGACAUGACCAGGUGACAUCAGUUGGCUAGCAUGGUUCAGUCCAGCUGAGUGCUGUUUCACCAGCUCAUUCCCUGCAGGGAAUGUGCUGGUGAACGAGACCCCUCCAUCUGGCCCCAUGGGUCAUCUUUGACAGGUGGGAGACAGAGGGCCUACCCCUGCCCACCUAUCAGUCACCUGAUGUCAUUGCGAUGACUGACAGGUGGGUGGGGUCAAUGUUGUCUCAUGGUGGUAGGGUGAGAAAGAUUUGUAGAAACAGAUUUAGUCACUGGGAGAGGAUAUACUGUUGUUAUUAUCCUUCCUUGCUCACUUUAGUGAGAUCAACAGAGUACCAUCCUUUGCAGCUUAAACUUGGAAGCUAAGACAAAGUUGACCUAACCUUCUAGAAACAAUAAUCCAGGAUGCUUUAAGGCAGACUGGAUUUUCCUGGUAUUGCCCCUUUUCUCCCCCUUAAAAACAACGAUCACACACCCACACAUGGUUGUGUGAACAAAUAAAAGUAGUAUUUACUUACAUAAUCUAGGCCUUGAAGCAGCAAUUAAAGUUGCAAAAUGAAGGCAGGUUUGUAACUACUGUACUAUCUAAGUUACAAAAGUACAAAAUGGAAGUAUUUUUUAAAAAGGUGUCGGAGCUGCAGAGAUCAAGCAUGCAUGUGUCAUCAGCUUCGGAGCAUGAUGAAGAAAAAGAGAGGUGCCUAGGCAAGAAGGAAGUGUGCAGUGUUAAAGCUUCCUGCCAGGGCAGCCAAAGGAAGUGACCUCACAGAGUUCUCUCUAGCAAAUAUUACAGGAAAUCUCUGUGAGCCUCAGCUCCUUCAUGUUUCUAUCUGGCAGAACAUGAUUUGUUGGUAUGACUACGAUAGUG
rnacentral:lncRNA from 1 species